GUAUGGUUGUAUAUUAAAUACAAAGCAAUACAAUAAAAUCAAUAUAAUCUCUGUAUGUAUGCAAAGUGAAAAGGGAGAGCCAACAACUGAAAGUGCACUUGUUUUGUUGUAGUUUGCUUUUUUUUUUUUGCACUGCUUUCAGUAAUUCGCACUCGUUACCUGGUGCGUCGGCUGUUUGCCGGCGCUUACGUCCCUUUGGCACAGGAUGCAGCGGCAGCUCAUUCCCACGACGGCAGCGGCAGCAGCGGAUUGAUGGCAGCAGCGGCUUGAUGGCAGCAGCGGCUUGAUGGCAGCAGCGGCUUGAUGGCAGCGAUGUGAUGGCAGCAGCGAAUAAUGGCAGCGGCGAGUGAUGAUAGCAGCGACUGAUGGCAGCAGCGACUGAUGGCAGCGAUGUGAUGGCAGCAGCGAAUAAUGGCAGCGGCGAGUGAUGAUAGCAGCGACUGAUGGUAGCAGCGACUGAUGGCAGCAGCGAAUAAUGGCAGCGGCGAGUGAUGAUAGCAGCGACUGAUGGCAGCAGCGACUGAUGGCAGCAGCGAUUGAUGGCAGCGAUGUGAUGGAGUUGACGUAGCAAAAUUGGACACUUGGCGACACUAUAUAUUUACGGGGUUUGGUAGCGGCACUGGAAGCGCCGAGACUAUUUCGAACCACUUGGUGUUAUUAACGUGAAACACACUGUACCGCACCUUCUUCACGUCACGUAUACGCGUAUAUAUGUAUGUAUAUUUAGAUUUACAAAGGAUGUCGCUUGGCGCAACACC